UUGACCUCAAAUCAGGUAGGAUUACCCGCUGAACUUAAGCAUAUCAAAAUCGGGAGGAAA
rnacentral:rRNA from 1 species